GCAAUUGCAUUUCAAAUAUUAUAUAACGUUGAUUAAAAUUUCCUUUUCUCUCGGGCAGCCAUGUAUAUUCCAAGCGUGAUGAAGGGAUUAGAUCAUCGUAUCGUAAAUUAUGCUUACUUCCAACCGCAAAGGCAGACUUUCCAUGUGCUUGUCCCUUUGCUUUGAGGGUCAGCGAACUCUUCGCUCUAUAUGACAGAGACAGCCUAGAAUCCAGGGGGAAAUUUGAAAGUCAAUCAAGGAAGGAACUGUAAGAUGGACAGGGCAAGGUCUCGUAGAAAUGCAUGAGAUUCGUUUCUCGCAAAUUACGAGAUACGGAAACGUUUAAAGUCAUCUACAGACGGAAAUCUGUUCAAGACAGUCGCGGUAAUGUUUCUACGUUAUAUUUCAUACGUUAAGCCUGCUAUUAUUUAAAUCUGUUCUUUGAAAUCGAGUAGAAUCAAAGUAGCUGAAGAACUACAGCCGAUAAAAUUACGUUUAAAACUGAAUGAACAAUAAUUUUUACUUUCGUUACGCUGUUGUUAUCGAUUAUCCAUUAUUUCUUACGGCAAGAAAUGGGAACGUGCUUAAUUUACGAUAAAAGCGAGAAACGGUACGUGAAAUAUUUUUCACGAUAAAUUAUUUUCAUAUUGUUUGAAAUAAUUUUACGCUUCCGCAAUGUAAGUGGCGAAUGUAAUUGAACAAGAAUCAUUUUUAAUAAAUGUAACAGCUAUAUCGUAAAGUAUAUUGUAACGUGUUAAUUCAUAAA